rnacentral:pre_miRNA from 1 species
UGGACCCCCCCAGCAGACCAGGGAGACCGGGGCGAGAAAAGCUUCUCCCGGUCUCCCUGGUCUGCUGGGGGAGUCCA